AUUGCGUGGCUUUUAAGUUUGUUAUAUCUAUGUCUGAUUGAUAAGGUAUCAAUACGAAAUCGUGACUAGUACCUUUCAUUAACUGAUAGUAUGUGAAUUGUAUAUGUUUAAUGUGUCGCGAUUGAAAGCAAAACAAAGUUAAAUGGAUGAACUAACAGAGUUGAAGCAACUCAGUGAUUCAGACGUGUUAUUUAAAGUGUGUUGUUCCGUGUGUGAAGAUGAUAGCGUUACUACUGAGGCACAGUACCAGUGUGUGAAAUGUGAGAAACAUUUCUGCGAGAGCUGCGUUGCAUUGCACAAUAAACUCCAUAAGAAUCAUUCAGUAUUGGCGAAAGAAAAUUCAUAUGACUGGACGGGAGGCAAGUUCCCCGACCAUACUUGAGAGCUAUGCGAGGAGCACAGUGCUGAGAAACUGACGAUGUUCUGUGAAGACCACACAAAGUUGCUCUGUCAACGGUGCCAUCUAGCCAGUCACAAGCAUUGUAAAAAUGUUGCUCUGAUAACAGAUAUGUCAUAUUAUCGCCAUGACAAUUUUGAAGACACUGCGGCAAAGCUUUUAACACUUCAAUAUAAAGAAGUGAAACUCCAGCUGCUGGAGCAGUAUUGAAUUUUCAUUAAAAACAAUUAGUUGGUCCUUUAUUUAAGGCAAGUGACCGAUUGCCCAAACAGUACAAAACAGCACAAUACAGCACAAUACAAACCAACAUAAACACAAAAUAUGAAUAAAGCUGGGGUCACCGCCUUGGAACGGUCAAUGCAAAGCAUCAAGACACGUUUCGCGAGCUGGCGACUGAAAAGGAACGCACUAUCUUGUUACAAAACGCCAACUAUGAACAACUGCUACAGAAACUCCUCGACUUUCGCCUCCAGGUCCACGUGAUAUUAGAUCGGCUUCAACAGACGACAUUAAAUGAAAUUGAAAUAUAUCGCGAAAACGUAUUGUCUUCUCUUCAGAAAGACAGGGACAAUUGCAAAGACUUUCAAUCAAAGUUGAAAGGCCUUCCAAAUGAUCUACUGUUAAACAAAAGGAGUGGACGUGAAUUCAUGUUUGUUGCGUUUAGAAAAUGCGAGGAGCAAAUAUCUAAGUCAGAAAAAUUGCUACAAGAGCUUUCCAGAAAUGAUUAUGUCGAUAUUAGUUUUUAUCCCAAUAAGAACAUUUUACAGUUUCUGUCUGUGUGUUCAAGGCUGGGAGAGGUCAGUGGUACAGGUGAGAACCAUGAAACCACACCAAAUCCGAACAACGGGGUGCAUCUACAGGACAGAGCUGAACACAAUGUCAAAAUGGACAACGAGUCGCUGCCUUGUAGCUUGUCUGGGAUAUGCGAUACAUCAAACUCUGAACUGAUGGUCACAGACUUUCACAAAAAGUGUGUAAAGCUUUUAGAUGAAGCAUACACCGUUAUUGAUGUCUUACACGUGCGCGCGAGUCCGUACUCGGUGUGUUCGUGUCUGCUAUAGAAGUGGCAGUAGCAAUAUGCGACCGGGUCUCUACAAACGAGAUAGCGUUCAUUAGAAAAGAUAAUGGGAAACUGAUAAAGGGCAGUGGUUUUAAAGUUGAACACUCGUGUUACGGCGUCGCACACCACCAGGGCGACAUUUUUGUCACUUCCGGUACCGCAGUGUACACAUAUACCGCUAAGGGGCGAUUGGUGAAGAAAUUGUAUGAGAACACAUUGGGAGAGUUCAAUGUUGUAGGAGUUGCAGUAAACCCAAACGGUAAUCGUAUCUUUGUGACGGACAUUACCAGUGGCAAGCUUCACACGUUGACUAGGGAAGGGUCUGUUACGGCCACGCUGCACGAUCCAAUGUUCAUCAAUAAGUUUCUAACGUGCAACGUGCACGUGACCGACGUAGGGCACGUGUAUGUGUUCGGUAAAGAAUCCAAUAGCCAGGUGAAUACAGACGGGAAGACAAUACUGAAGACGCACAACAUGGGCGUGUCCAACCCUGCGUCGGUCUUGUUGAUCAUGCGCGCGAGCAGGUUCCACGUCGGUGCAUGGAACAAUGACAAUAUUGUGGUCUUCAAGGCAAACGUGUUAUGCCCGUAAACAUUGAAGGAUAUGGUAUUAUACACAUAACAUGAUAAUAUUCAACAUCAUAUGCAUGCAUUAUUUAUCACGCCUCGUUGUUUUAAAGGAAUAAGACGCGAGCUAUCGAUUAAGGGGCAAAAACUAAAGAAUAUUGUUUGAAAGUCUGUCGAAGAUUUAUUCGGGUUGACAAACGGACUGGAAAUAUUGCUUGGUUAUCGACCGACUGUGAGUUAACGGCUGGACAGAUUAUUUUGAAGUUAACUUGUUUUGAAAGGUUGUCCAAUUGCCCAUAGGAGGAUCAAGGGAUGCUUUGGAUUAAAGCUAUUUUUGACAUUUUUGCGGCCCGCGAAGACAGGUCUAUGAUAAAUUCAAGUUAAUGACAUUGUUAUGAUUUCAAGAGAACGUUACUUCCACCUGUGAUUAAAAAAAGGAUAAAUGUCUCGUAUACCUUGAAAUAUUUAUUCUCUUAAAAUCCGGGCGCGAUGGUCAAAAGUAAUAUGAAUAAAAUAUCGCUGUGAAAAUUAGAUCCCAAACGGGCCCUUCUAAUAAACAAGACAUAUAAAUACCCGCGAUAACCUACCUGCGAAAAUGCAUUAUAUUACAAUUUGUUCGCUACUUCCGUCUCAUUUCCGGUUUUCAGCUUACACGAGGGAUUUCUCAAAACCGUAGGGGAAAGGUUACACUGCACUAAAGUAUAUGUUAGUGAAACAAAUGAAUUAACGAUAUAAUCCCCGCCGUAGGUGGAGGCAUAUAGUUUAAGCGUUUUUUGUGCGUCCGUCCAUCCGUCUUUCAGGAAUACUUUUGUAUUAUUUUAUUUGGCUGGAAUAAGGUGAUACUUACUUUCACGGGUAUGUGACUACAGGACAAAACAAAACAAUAUAAAACAUAAAUACAAUUUCGGUUACAUAUUAGCAGAUGUGUCACUAGGAUUUAUUGUUGGUCUCUUAAAGAAUCAACAAAAGCUAUGCAAGCAGACAAUGACCGAAUUAACACGUUGGCUGAGCUGUGGCUUGUUCAUUUAAACCCAGCAAAAAUAUGCAGAAAAUAAAACUUAUCGAUCAUCUUGCCUUUGGAAAUGCAAACAGUGUAACUUCAGAAGUCAAGUUAUACAAAUCCUUUAUACAAGUUAACAAUCUUUGACUGCAAUUGGCAUGGACAUAUUGAACACGUUAAAGUCAAAGCAACGAAAUACUACAUAGUAUGCGCCAACUUAAAUAAAUGAUUACCCAAUCCGAAAUAGUAUGCGCCAACUUAAAUAAAUGAUUACCUAAGCCUCCAAAACACGAUAAAUAGGAAAGUUGAAAGGGUUUUACUCUUGAAAACGCUAGGAGAAUCACCAAAAACAACCAUUUUGUGUUAGGUCAAUCUCCGUGAGGGACUUCCGAAUCUGAUUGGUGGAAUACUUGGCGUUUUAAUUGUGGUUAUAGAAAUCAGAGUGUUCUUUACCCAUAACUAUUGUCAAUGUUCUCCGAUUUUGAAUAAGACUGACCUAUCGGAAAACAAAAUGUCAUUAUAGAAAAUGUAUCUUUAGUAUGGAUCACAUGUAUAUUUCUCUCCCGUGUUUGAUUUGCAUGACUGAACAUUUAUUUGUAAUGGAAAAUAUCUGUAAAAUGCAUAUAUCUUUCAUUUGUAACGGU